UACGUAGGGGGCGAGCGUUGUCCGGAGUACUGGGCGUAAAGCGCACGCAGGCGGUCUGCUAAGUUUGGAGUGACAGUUGGUGGCUUAACUGCAAAGUGCUUCGAAAACUGACAGACUUGAGGGCUUCAGAGGGACACGGAAUUCCGGGUGGAGUGGUGAAAUGCGUAGAGAUCCGGAGGAACACCAAAGGCGAAGGCAGUGUCCUGGGGAGUACCUGACGCUCAGGU
rnacentral:rRNA from 1 species